rnacentral:sRNA from 1 species
GCUGGUGCGUGCGUGCGCGCGCGCCGCGGGCGGGCCAGUGAAACCGGCGGCCCUGGCACGUGACCUAGGACCGGCUCACCGGGUCGCUUGGUGGCUCUGUCUGUCUGUCCGUCCGUCCGCGGGUGCCAUCAUGGCGGACGCGGCCAGUCAGGUGCUCCUGGGCUCCGGUCUCACCAUCCUGUCCCAGCCGCUCAUGUGGGAUAUGAGCCUCUUCCUCCAACAAUAGGACGAAAUAUUUUUGGGCGGCAAGUGUGUCAGCUUCCUGGUCUCUUUAGUUAUGCUCAGCACAUUGCCAGUAUCGAUGGGAGGCGUGGGUUGUUCACAGGCUUAACUCCAAGACUGUGUUCGGGAGUCCUUGGAACUGUGGUCCAUGGUAAAGUUUUACAGCAUUACCAGGAGAGUGACAAGGGUGAGGAGUUAGGACCUGGAAAUGUACAGAAAGAAGUCUCAUCUUCCUUUGACCACGUUAUCAAGGAGACAACUCGAGAGAUGAUCGCUCGUUCUGCUGCUACCCUCAUCACACAUCCCUUCCAUG